rnacentral:rRNA from 1 species
GUGAGGAAUAUUGGACAAUGGGCGCAAGUCUGAUCCAGCCAUGCCGCGUGCAGGAAGACGCAUCUAUGGUGUGUAAACUGCUUUUGUACGGGAAGAAACACUCCCUCGUGAGGGAGCUUGACGGUACCGUAAGAAUAAGGAUCGGCUAACUCCGUGCCAGCAGCCGCGGUAAUACGGAGGAUCCAAGCGUUAUCCGGAAUCAUUGGGUUUAAAGGGUCCGUAGGCGGUUUAAUAAGUCAGUGGUGAAAGCCCAUCGCUCAACGAUGGAACGGCCAUUAAUACUGUUAGAAUUGAAUUACAAGGAAGUAACUAGAAUAUGUAGUGUAGCGGUGAAAUGCUUAGAUAUUACAUGGAAUACCAAUUGCGAAGGCAGGUUACUACUUUGGGAUUGACGCUGAUGAACAAAAGCGUGGGGAGCAAACAGGAUUAGAUACCCCAGUAGUCC